GUGGGGAAUAUUGGACAAUGGGCGAAAGCCUGAUCCAGCCAUGCCGCGUGUGUGAAGAAGGUCUUCGGAUUGUAAAGCACUUUAAGUUGGGAGGAAGGGCAGUAAGUUAAUACCUUGCUGUUUUGACGUUACCGACAGAAUAAGCACCGGCUAAUUUCGUGCCAGCAGCCGCGGUAAUACGAAGGGUGCAAGCGUUAAUCGGAAUUACUGGGCGUAAAGCGCGCGUAGGUGGUUUUGUAAGUUGGAGGUGAAAUCCCCGGGCUCAACCUGGGAACUGCCUCCAAAACUGCAUGACUAGAGUACGGUAGAGGGUAGUGGAAUUUCCUGUGUAGCGGUGAAAUGCGUAGAUAUAGGAAGGAACACCAGUGGCGAAGGCGACUACCUGGACUGAUACUGACACUGAGGUGCGAAAGCGUGGGGAGCAAACAGGAUUAGAUACCCUAGUAGUCC
rnacentral:rRNA from 1 species